rnacentral:rRNA from 1 species
AUGAACGCUGGCGGCGUGCUUAACACAUGCAAGUCGAACGAAGCACUUAAUGAGAUUUCUUCGGAUUGAUAUUUGUGACUGAGUGGCGGACGGGUGAGUAACACGUGAGCAAUCUGCCUUUCAGAGGGGGAUACCGAUUGGAAACGAUCGUUAAUACCGCAUAACAUAAUUGAACCGCAUGAUUUGAUUAUCAAAGAUUUAUCGCUGAAAGAUGAGCUCGCGUCUGAUUAGCUAGUUGGUAAGGUGACGGCCCACCAAGGCGACGAUCAGUAGCCGGACUGAGAGGUUGAACGGCCACAUUGGGACUGAGAUACGGCCCAGACUCCUACGGGAGGCAGCAGUGGGGAAUAUUGGGCAAUGGGCGCAAGCCUGACCCAGCAACGCCGCGUGAAGGAAGAAGGCUUUCGGGUUGUAAACUUCUUUUGUCAGGGACGAGUAGAAGACGGUACCUGACGAAUAAGCCACGGCUAACUACGUG